AAUAGGCCGACAAGGGUGGUGAGCUUACACAUGACGAGACAACAAUUAUAAGUGGGGCACUAGAUUUAACUGAGAAGACAGCUGAGGAGGCUAUGACACCCAUUGAAUCAACGUUUUCCUUAGAUGUCAAUUCAAAGUUGGACUGGGAGGCUAUGGGAAAAGUUCUUGCUCGGGGGCAUAGUCGAGUUCCUGUCUAUUCUGGGAAUCUGAAGAACGUUAUUGGACUGCUUCUGGUG